UCCAGUUUAGCCAACAUGUGAGCAUUUGUAGGUCUGUGCAGGCUGUGUGGGCUUCAGGCUCCUUCUACAGGCAAAUGGAGAAGGCUGUCCCCACAUCAUGGGGAAGAAGCUGAGGUCAGGCAGGGGAUCCACCAAUUCCCCAGAUGGACCCUGUGGAUUAAGUCCCCUCCUCUACUAAGCCAGCUCCAGUGGGAGGCAGGACGCUUGGGAACAGGAGCCCAGGGAGGCCGUGACCUGCCGAGGUCACACAGCGUGUCUGCAGGAAAAUCCAUCUUGUGGUUC
rnacentral:lncRNA from 1 species